rnacentral:rRNA from 1 species
CACAUGCAAGUCGAACGGUAGCACAGGAGAGCUUGCUCUCUGGGUGACGAGUGGCGGACGGGUGAGUAAUGUCUGGGAAACUGCCCGAUGGAGGGGGAUAACUACUGGAAACGGUAGCUAAUACCGCAUAACGUCUACGGACCAAAGUGGGGGACCUUCGGGCCUCACACCAUCGGAUGUGCCCAGAUGGGAUUAGCUUGUUGGUGAGGUAAUGGCUCACCAAGGCGACGAUCCCUAGCUGGUCUGAGAGGAUGACCAGCCACACUGGAACUGAGACACGGUCCAGACUCCUACGGGAGGCAGCAGUGGGGAAUAUUGCACAAUGGGCGCAAGCUGAUGCAGCCAUGCCGCGUGUAUGAAGAAGGCCUUCGGGUUGUAAAGUACUUUCAGCGGGGAGGAAGGGAGUGAGGUUAAUAACCUCGUUCAUUGACGUUACCCGCAGAAGAAGCACCGGCUAACUCCGUGCCAGCAGCCGCGGUAAUACGGAGGGUGCAAGCGUUAAUCGGAAUUACUGGGCGUAAAGCGCACGCAGGCGGUCUGUCA